GAUGAACGCUGGCGGCGUGCCUAAUACAUGCAAGUCGAGCGAACGAACGAGAAGCUUGCUUCUCUGAUGUUAGCGGCGGACGGGUGAGUAACACGUGGAUAACCUACCUAUAAGACUGGGAUAACUUCGGGAAACCGGAGCUAAUACCGGAUAAUAUUUUGAACCGCAUGGUUCAAAAGUAAAAGACGGUCUUGCUGUCACUUAUAGAUGGAUCCGCGCUGCAUUAGCUAGUUGGUAAGGUAACGGCUUACCAAGGCAACGAUGCAUAGCCGACCUGAGAGGGUGAUCGGCCACACUGGAACUGAGACACGGUCCAGACUCCUACGGGAGGCAGCAGUAGGGAAUCUUCCGCAAUGGGCGAAAGCCUGACGGAGCAACGCCGCGUGAGUGAUGAAGGUCUUCGGAUCGUAAAACUCUGUUAUUAGGGAAGAACAUAUGUGUAAGUAACUGUGCACAUCUUGACGGUACCUAAUCAGAAAGCCACGGCUAACUACGUG
rnacentral:rRNA from 1 species